AACGAACGCUGGCGGCGUGCUUAACACAUGCAAGUCGAACGCGAAAGGGACUUCGGUCCUGAGUAAAGUGGCGCACGGGUGAGUAACGCGUGGAUAAUCUACCCAAUGAUCUGGGAUAACAUUUCGAAAGGGGUGCUAAUACCGGAUAAGACCACGGAGUCUUUGGACUCUGCGGUAAAAGGUGGGGACCUUCGGGCCUACCGUCAUCGGAUGAGUCCGCGUACCAUUAGCUAGUUGGUGGGGUAAAGCCUACCAAGGCGACGAUGGUUAGCUGGUCUGAGAGGAUGAUCAGCCACACUGGAACUGAGACACGGCCCAGACUCCUACGGGAGGCAG
rnacentral:rRNA from 1 species